rnacentral:snoRNA from 1 species
UGGCAAUGCAAUGGCUGCCAAGAGCAACAUCCUUGGCAGUGUAUACAGCCUUUUCUAUGUCUGGACUCCCCCUGGAGACCUUUGAGACAGUU